CAGGAUGAACGCUAGCUACAGGCUUAACACAUGCAAGUCGAGGGGCAGCAUAAUCGAAGCUUGCUUGAUGAUGGCGACCGGCGCACGGGUGAGUAACGCGUAUCCAACCUUCCCCUUAGUAGGGCAUAGCCCGGCGAAAGUCGGAUUAAUACCCUAUGUUAUCCGUCGAGGACAUCUGAAGUGGAUUAAAGAUUUAUCGCUAAGGGAUGGGGAUGCGUCUGAUUAGGUUGUUGGCGGGGUAACGGCCCACCAAGCCUACGAUCAGUAGGGUUCUGAGAGGAAGGUCCCCCACAUUGGUACUGAGACACGGACCAAACUCCUACGGGAGGCAGCAGUGAGGAAUAUUGGUCAAUGGGCGAGAGCCUGAACCAGCCAAGUAGCGUGCAGGAUGACGGCCCUAUGGGUUGUAAACUGCUUUUGCAUGGGAAUAAAGUCGGGGACGUGUCCCCGUUUGUAUGUACCAUGAGAAUAAGGACCGGCUAAUUCCGUGCCAGCCGCUGC
rnacentral:rRNA from 1 species